rnacentral:lncRNA from 1 species
AAGCACCACCAUCAAACCCAUCUUCUUCUUCUUCUUCUUCUUCUUCUGCAACCAACCACCACACUCCACCAUGGCCAACAUGAUCAUGGCCUCCUCAAAACCUCUCAUCUCACCCACCUCCUCCCUCCCCUUCCCCAAACCCACUCCCCAAAUCUCCCAAAUCUCCCUCCCCAGAAUCCCUAAACUCCCCAAACUCCAACACAUCCUCUCCCUCUCCCCCUCCUCCGCUCUCAAAUCCUUCUCCCUCCUCGCCGCCACCUCCCUCUCCUUCGCCCCUCCAUCCCUCGCCGAAGAAAUCGAGAAGGCCGCUCUCUUCGAUUUCAACCUCACCCUCCCUAUCAUAAUGGUGGAAUUCCUG